UACAGAGGGGGCAAGCGUUGUUCGGAAUUACUGGGCGUAAAGGGCUCGUAGGCGGCCAACUAAGUCAGACGUGAAAUCCCUCGGCUUAACCGGGGAACUGCGUCUGAUACUGGAUGGCUUGAGUUCGGGAGAGGGAUGCGGAAUUCCAGGUGUAGCGGUGAAAUGCGUAGAUAUCUGGAGGAACACCGGUGGCGAAGGCGGCAUCCUGGACCGAGACUGACGCUGAGGCGCGAAAGCGUGGGGAGCAAACAGG
rnacentral:rRNA from 1 species